rnacentral:rRNA from 1 species
GAUGAACGCUGGCGGUCUGCUUAACACAUGCAAGUCGAACGGAAGUAGCAAUACUUUAGUGGCGGACGGGUGAGUAACACGUAAGAAUCUGCCUCCAGGACGGGAAAAACAGUUGGAAACGACUGCUAAUUCCGGAUGAGCCGAAAGGUAAAAAGAAAUUCGCCUGGAGAUGAGCUUGCGGCUGAUUAGCUAGUUGGUAGGGUAAGAGCCUACCAAGGCGACAAUCAGUAGCUGGUCUGAGAGGAUGAGCAGCCACACUGGGACUGAGACACGGCCCAGACUCCUACGGGAGGCAGCAGUGGGGAAUCUUAGACAAUGGGGGAAACCCUGAUCUAGCCAUGCCGCGUGAUCGAUGAAGGCCUCAGGGUUGUAAAGAUCUUUCAGUGGGGAAGAUAAUGACUGUACCCACAGAAGAAGCCCCGGCUAACUCCGUGCCAGCCGCCGCCGUAACAC